rnacentral:rRNA from 1 species
GACGAACGCUGGCGGCGUGCUUAACACGUGCAAGUCGAACGCUGAAGCUCAGCUUGCUGGGUGGAUGAGUGGCGAACGGGUGAGUAACACGUGAGUAACCUGCCCCCUUCUUUGGGAUAACGCCCGGAAACGGGUGCUAAUACUGGAUAUUCACUGAUCUUCGCAUGGGGGUUGGUGGAAAGGUUUGUUCUGGUGGGGGAUGGGCUCGCGGCCUAUCAGCUUGUUGGUGGGGUGAUGGCCUACCAAGGCUUUGACGGGUAGCCGGCCUGAGAGGGUGACCGGUCACAUUGGGACUGAGAUACGGCCCAGACUCCUACGGGAGGCAGCAGUGGGGAAUAUUGCACAAUGGGCGCAAGCCUGAUGCAGCGACGCCGCGUGAGGGAUGGAGGCCUUCGGGUUGUAAACCUCUUUCGCUCAUGGUCAAGCCGCAACAGUGGUUGUGGUGAGGGUAGUGGGUAAAGAAGCGCCGGCUAACUACGUGCCAGCAGCCGCGGUAAUACGUAGGGCGCGAGCGUUGUCCGGAAUUAUUGGGCGUAAAGGGCUUGUAGGCGGUUGGUCGCGUCUGCCGUGAAAUCCUCUGGCUUAACUGGGGGCGUGCGGUGGGUACGGGCUGACUUUGAGUGCGGUAGGGGGAGACUGGAACUCCUGGUGUAUGGUGGAUUGCGCAGAUAUCACGAAGAACCCCGUGGCCAAGGGGGGUCUCUGGGCCGUUACUGACCCCUCCGAGCGGGAGCUCCGGGGCGAACACGAAUCGAUAUCCUUGUAGUGCAAGGCGGAUUUUCGAGGGGAGUGGAGCGGAUCGGUGCCCCCCACCGCGGCAGGGGCCCGGGCCCAGCGGGUCUCCCCCCACCCCCCAUAAUGCGCGGUGGCCAAAUCGACCUGUUUGCGGCCAGGGGUUGGGGGGGGGAGUUGAUC